rnacentral:lncRNA from 1 species
GGUGUGACUAUUGAGGGAUGGGAGCAAGAGAGAUAUUCAUUAUCUAACAACACAUCUGGCCAGUUGCAUCGCUGCAUGAGAGGGACAAUUUAGCCUCACAUUAUCUCAGGAAUUUCAACAUUCAACUGGGAAUGCAUGUUAAUUUUUUGUUUCAAGUCACAGAAAUUCUUGAUUUCAGUUCUUGAUUUUUUCCAUUUUUGAGUGAUUGGCCUGUAUAAUUAUCCAUGAUGAUAUUUAGAUAGAAUUCCAGUAUGCAGUGUGUGUGUGUGUGUAUUUACUGUUGGCUAGUUUGCCUAUGGCAUAAGGCACAAGCAGCAUUGUAAGAAGGUGACAAGUUGUGGUCUAUGUGAAUCAUUGGCCAGAUGCGAACACUGAAACUUCACACUUCUGUUUACAGGAAGUAAGAAGAAUUUCCAGUCAUUGUAGCCGAGCGAUAAGUGCCAACAUGUAUGUCACUUUGCCUCCGAUUACCCAAAAUGAUUAAACAUCUCUUUGUUGUCCUGAUACUUGAAGCAUGUGGAUUCACAGAAGGCAAUGAUAGUUUUACCGGUGAAGUGAUUCAUGUGGCUCCAGGUAGUGAUGUGAGUUUGAAGUGUGUGUCCAGUGGGACCAGUGGGACCAGUUCUCCAUUCUGGGACAGAAUCAGUACAAAUGGCAAGGAGCUGCUUUUUGAGAACACGGCGUAUUUACUGGUGGAGAACUUUCAGCCGGGAGAUAAAGGAACGUAUAGAUGCAGCACAAAGUCAAACAGUGUAACACUGGAGGAGAAGUCUGCAUCCCAAAGUGGCACGACACUGCUGUUCAGAAGAAGCGGCGAGCAGAAGGCACAUCUGUUCUGUAAAAUCCUGUCUGGCUCUGCAUACAGAGGACAAUGGAGCUGGAAACAUCACGAAAACCAGAAACACAGUCAACCCAUACAAGAGCAAACCAGAACGUUUGGGACCAGACUUGUACGAGAUAGUAAGAGUGAUAAUGAUUUCUCUCUGAGCAUCUCUCCGGUGUGGUGGCAGGACGCAGGGCUGUUCCAAUGUCUCAUUGAGAAAGGUUGGCCUCCUCAGAAGACAACAGUGUUUAAGCUCAUUCUUAUUAAAGUGGAGGUUCAACCUCAGGUGCUGUUUGAGGGGGAUUCGGUGGAAUUGGUCUGCUAUACUACAGCCAAGGACCUGAACGUUCGCCUUUGCUGGAUUGAACUUGGUCAUGACCACGAAUCAGAACCAUCAGACAACCAUUACCAUGCCAAGACGACAGGCAGCUCUUGUAUCAAUAAAGAAAAUCACACAUUUCACCAGACUGACAUUAGAGCUGAGAAACGCUUGGCCUGCGUUGUCUUUUACAAUGAAGAACUCAGAGCCCUGGUGGACCUCAGACUGAACGUGACAAAACGCAGCAACACCAAUUCCCAAUCCACACAACCCAGGGAACAUUUCACCACCACAGCAAGUUCAAACUACAGCAAAACUCCCACAGCAGGGCUGGCCAUGCGAGAAAAGACUCAACCAAUAGCAGAGCGGACACACAGGCUAAUAACACUUCUCUGUGUCUCCUGCAUUAUUUCUGCACUUGUGCUUGUUCCGUGUGGCAUGAUCUUCUGUAAAAGACGAUGUAAAGAUGUGAAAAGUGAGGAGCAGACUUUAUCUCGGAAUGAGAGUGUGGUGUACACUGAGGUACAUUUCAAAACAAGAAAAGACUCAGGCGUGACUCCAGUCCAGUCAGAUACUGUGGUUGUGAGUCUUCUUCUCUCACGUCAUGUCACUGAUUUAAAGUUUAGUCCAGGAAUGCGGUGGUCUGACUUGUAUUUAUUUGCUUGUGUUUAGGGAGAAGAUGAGCUGACUAAGCUGGAGGAGGAGGAAGAAACUGCUGUUAUAUAUGCUGGUUUAAUUUUGCACCAGAAAGAGAAAUAAAUAUUACUCAUUAAACCUCA